AUGCAAUGCUGGUAUUGUGAAAGUGACUUAUUUGCAGGACUAAUGAUGAAGUACUUUAUUUGUAUUCUUUCUUGCGAAACAUUGUCUAAUAUCUGCAGCUGAAAGGAACCACAGAGAAGAUGUUAUUCAGCCAUUUUCCAGGGUGUGCCACUGUUAGUGAAGAUUUCUGAGAGAGGAAUAAGCAUGUCUGGACUGAAUUCCUGUUGUUACCCAUCUGUACAGAAGAAGAUCUGUCACUUGUUCAGGGGAGCACAGGUUGUUGUCCUAUAAAGCUGUUCAAGUUCCUCUCUUCACAAGAACAUCUUCCUGCUCUCCCUGCUGCCCAUAAACAUUAUGUUAGAUCGAGAUGAAGGGUUCUAAACUUGAAGUUCUCUAUGCGUGCGCAUGGUGCCACAUGACCCAGGUUAAAUGUCAGCAUUGUGGCAGCCAGCUUCCUCUGAGGGACCUCUACUAAUGAUAGCUAUUGAUCCAGUGCUCAGCGCAGCUCCAAGGCAAGACCAGCUUCAAUGCUUUUCCCUUCUGCUGCCCUCUCAUUUAUAUGAAGCUGCCUUCAGACAUGGCUCUCACCCUUGGGGACAGAACCUACUUAUUGGUGAAGUACCCUGUGCAUUCAUUUAUCAGAUUUUACUGCUACAGUUUUAUUGCAUGUUUGUAGCUAGAACUUUCCACAAGAAGAAAUCUUUAAUAUGACAUGAAAAUAUCCACAGGCACCAUUAAUAUUACUUCAGAUGUGAAGAUCUCACCCAUCAGUAGUACAAUGCUGUGUAGAGAAA